rnacentral:rRNA from 1 species
AGCUCUCGUAAUACAUAGAAUUAUUGUUGCGGUUAAAAAGUUCGUAGUUGAUUAGCGAACCGUUCGGGGUGCAUCCUAACGGGUGUCACUCGUCGGACGGUAUUUUGUGCGUUUGUGUGCGGCGGCUUUCGGGUCGCUCGUAUGCUGCGUGCAGGAUUACUUUGAACGGCUUAAGUGCUCAAGGCGGGUCUUACGACCGAAUACCGGUGCAUGGAAUAAUGGAACAAGGUUGCGGCCGAGUUUUAUUGGUUUUGUCGGCUGAAACAAUGGUUAACAGGAACAGCCGGGGGCAUUCGUAUCGCUGCGCGAGAGGUGAAAUUCGGGGACCGUAGCGAGACGCACUAAAGCGAAGGCAUUUGCCAAGAGUGUUUUCA